rnacentral:rRNA from 1 species
AACGAACGCUGGCGGCAGGCUUAACACAUGCAAGUCGAACGCCCCGCAAGGGGAGUGGCAGACGGGUGAGUAACGCGUGGGAAUCUACCCAGUUCUACGGAACAACUGAGGGAAACUUCAGCUAAUACCGUAUACGCCCUACGGGGAAGAUUUAUCGGAAUUGGAUGAGCCCGCGUUGGAUUAGCUAGUUGGUGAGGUAACGGCUCACCAAGGCGACGAUCCAUAGCUGGUCUGAGAGGAUGAUCAGCCACACUGGGACUGAGACACGGCCCAGACUCCUACGGGAGGCAGCAGUGGGGAAUAUUGGACAAUGGGCGCAAGCCUGAUCCAGCCAUGCCGCGUGAGUGAUGAAGGCCUUAGGGUUGUAAAGCUCUUCAGUGGGACGAUAAUGACGGUACCCACAGAAGAAGCCCCGGUAACUCGUGCCAGCAGCCGCGGUAAGCUAGUCUACG